rnacentral:antisense_RNA from 1 species
UCAUUCUCCAAGUCUGAGUUAUUUGGUCAAAAAAACCCCCAAAUGCUUCAGACAACUCUCGCAAACUUGUCAUAGCUUUUGGUAUUCCAGGCCACAGAAGAGCCCAG